rnacentral:rRNA from 1 species
GGCUUAGAGUUUGAUCAUGGCUCAGAUUGAACGCUGGCGGCAUGCUUUACACAUGCAAGUCGAACGGCAGCAUGGAGAGCUUGCUCUCUGAUGGCGAGUGGCGAACGGGUGAGUAAUACAUCGGAACGUGUCCUGUUGUGGGGGAUAACUACUCGAAAGAGUAGCUAAUACCGCAUAAGACCUAAGGGUGAAAGCGGGGGACCUUCGGGCCUCGCGCAGUUGGAGCGGCCGAUGACUGAUUAGCUAGUUGGUGGGGUAAAGGCCUACCAAGGCGACGAUCAGUAGCUGGUCUGAGAGGACGACCAGCCACAUUGGGACUGAGACACGGCCCAAACUCCUACGGGAGGCAGCAGUGGGGAAUUUUGGACAAUGGGGGCAACCCUGAUCCAGCCAUGCCGCGUGCGGGAAGAAGGCCUUCGGGUUGUAAACCGCUUUUGUUAGGAACGAAAAGGUAUCUGUGAACAACAGGUAUUGCUGACGGUACCUAAAGAAUAAGCACCGGCUAACUACGUGCCAGCAGCCGCGGUAAUACGUAGGGUGCGAGCGUUAAUCGGAAUUACUGGGCGUAAAGCGUGCGCAGGCGGUUGGGUAAGACAGGUGUGAAAUCCCCGAGCUUAACUUGGGAACUGCACUUGUGACUGCUCAACUAGAGUAUGUCAGAGGGAGGUGGAAUUCUCAGUGUAGCAGUGAAAUGCGUAGAUAUUUGGAAGAACACCGAUGGCGAAAGCAGCCUCCUGGGAUAAUACUGACGCUCAUGCACGAAAGCGUGGGGAGCAAACAGGAUUAGAUUCCCUGGUAGUCCACGCCCUAAACGAUGUCAACUAGUUGUUGGGGCCGCAUGGCUUAGUAACACAGCUAACGCGAGAAG